CGCACAUUGCGCCCCUUGGUAUUCCGGGGGGCAUGCCUGUUCGAGCGUCAUUACAACCCUCAAGCUCUGCUUGGUAUUGGGCCUCGCCGCAAAUGCGGCCGGCCUCAAAUCUAGUGGCGGUGCCGCUGGGUCCUGAGCGUAGUAAAUAUCCUCGCUACAGGGUCCUGGCGGCCUCCUGCCAUCAACCCCCACAUCUUAGUUUGACCUCGGAUCAGGUAGGGAUACCCGCUGAACUUAA
rnacentral:misc_RNA from 1 species